rnacentral:rRNA from 1 species
ACCCGCUGAAUUUAAGCAUAUAAGUAAGCGGAGGAAGAGAAACUAAAUAGGAUUCCCUCAGUAAUGGCGAACGAACAGGGAAGAGCUCAGAUUUGAUAUCGGGGCCUGCGGCUCCGAAUUGUAGUCUCGAAAUGCAACGCCACCGGGGGCGCAGAUUUAAGCCUCUUGGAAGAGAGCGCCGGCGAGGGUGAGAGUCCCGUUCGUCAAUUUGCAGUCCUCCGUACACGGCUUGCACUUGUUGAGUCACGUUCCUCGGGAUUGGAGCGCAAAGUGGGUGGUAAAUUUCAUCUAAAGCUCAAUAUAUGUUUGAGACCGAUMGCACACAUGUACCAUGAGGGAAAUAUGAAAAGGACUUUGAAAAGAGAGUUAAAAGUGCCUGAAAUUGCUGCAAGGGAAGCGGAUGGAACCAGUCCGCGCGGUGAGAUUGUUGGGCGGAGCUGUGCGGAUUUGCACCUUCAACGAAAGUGAGGGUGCAAGUUUCAACCAUCUCUCGCCCGAUGGUUCUUGCCGUGGGGGUCAUUGGUGAUUAGCGUCCGAGGAUAACUGCAAAGGCAUGGUAGCCUGUCUCCGGAUGGGUGAACGCGUUUGUUAGCACUCGGCUGCUGAUCAUUUGGAGGUGUUCGGAAACCGUCGAUUGAACUUGCUUUCUCCGUGUGGGAUCGCAACGUUUGUUCGCGGGCCCUGACACACGUCUACGACCAAAUGGUUCUUUCCGACCCGUCUUGAAACACGGACCAAGGAGUCUAACAUGUGUGCGAGUUCUUGGGCNGUAAANCCGUGCGCGCAACGAAAGUGACUGCUGAGAUGUUUGCACCAGCAACCGACUGAUCAAUUGCGAGACGUUUGAGUGUGAGCAUAUCUGCUAGGACCCGAAAGAUGGUGAACUAUGCCUGUGAAGAGCGAACCCAGGGGAAACUCUGGUGGAGGCUCGUAGCGAUACUGACGUGCAAAUCGUUCGUCAUACAUGGGUAUAGGGGCGAAAGACUAAUCGAACCAUCUAGUAGCUGGUUCCCUCCGAA